rnacentral:rRNA from 1 species
AGUCGAGGGGCAGCGGGAUUGAAGCUUGCUUCAAUUGCCGGCGACCGGCGCACGGGUGAGUAACGCGUAUCCAACCUUCCGUACACUCAGGGAUAGCCUUUCGAAAGAAAGAUUAAUACCUGAUGGUAUGAUGAGAUUGCAUGAUAGCAUCAUUAAAGAUUUAUCGGUGUACGAUGGGGAUGCGUUCCAUUAGGUAGUAGGCGGGGUAACGGCCCACCUAGCCAACGAUGGAUAGGGGUUCUGAGAGGAAGGUCCCCCACAUUGGAACUGAGACACGGUCCAAACUCCUACGGGAGGCAGCAGUGAGGAAUAUUGGUCAAUGGACGAGAGUCUGAACCAGCCAAGUAGCGUGAAGGAUGAAGGUCUUACGGAUUGUAAACUUCUUUUAUAAGGGAAUAAAACCUCCCACGUGUGGGAGCUUGUAUGUACCUUAUGAAUAAGCAUCGGCUAACUCCGUGCCAGCAGCCGCGGUAAUACGGAGGAUGCGAGCGUUAUCCGGAUUUAUUGGGUUUAAAGGGAGCGCAGACGGGUCGUUAAGUCAGCUGUGAAAGUUUGGGGCUCAACCUUAAAAUUGCAGUUGAUACUGGCGUCCUUGAGUGCGGUUGAGGUGUGCGGAAUUCGUGGUGUAGCGGUGAAAUGCUUAGAUAUCACGAAGAACUCCGAUUGCGAAGGCAGCACACUAAGCCGUAACUGACGUUCAUGCUCGAAAGUGUGGGUAUCAAACAGGAUUAGAUACCCUGGUAGUCCACACGGUAAACGAUGGAUACUCGCUGUUGGCGAUAUACAGUCAGCGG